AGCGAACGUUAGCGGCGGGCCUAACACAUGCAAGUCGAGCGAGAAAGUGGCUUCGGCCAUCAGUAAAGCGGCGGACGGGUGAGUAACACGUAGGUAAUCUUCCCUUGAGCGGGGGACAACGUUUCGAAAGGAACGCUAAUACCGCAUAAGUUUCCAGGAACUCUGGUUCUUGGAAGGAAAGCUAGGUCGCAAGAUCCGGCACUCGAGGAGGAGCCUGCGUCGCAUCAGCUAGUUGGUGGGGUAANGGCCUACCAAGGCGAAGACGCGUAGCUGGUCUGAGAGGAUGAUCAGCCACACUGGGACUGAGACACGGCCCAGACUCCUACGGGAGGCAGCAGUGGGGAAUAUUGGACAAUGGGCGCAAGCCUGAUCCAGCCACGCCGCGUGAGUGAUGAAGGCCU
rnacentral:rRNA from 1 species